CUCUUACGGGAGGCUGCAGUCGAGAAUCUUUCGCAAUGCGCGCAAGCGUGACGGAGCGACGCCGCGUGGAUGAUGAAGGCCCUCGGGUUGUAAAAUCCAGUCGCGGGGGAAGAAUGACGAGGAGUUAACAGCUCUUUCGUUUGACGUUACCCCGGGUGAAGCGCCGGCUAAACACGUGCCAGCAGCCGCGGUAAGACGUGUGGCGCAGGCGUUGUUCGGAAUCACUGGGCAUAAAGAGCGCGUAGGCGGUGUCGCAAGUCGGGCGUGAAAGCCCUCGGCUCAACCGGGGAAUUGCAUCCGAAACUGCGGUGCUAGAGUAUGGUAGGGGGGAGUGGAAUUCCUGGUGGAGCGGUGAAAUGCGUAGAUAUCAGGAGGAACGCCGGUGGCGAAGGCGACUCCCUGGCCCAUAACUGACGCUGAGUGCGCGAAAGCUAGGGGAGCAAACAGGAUUAGAUACCCUGGUAGUCCUAGCUGUAAACGAUGGGCACUAGGUAGUGGGAAUUACCGACAUUCUCACUGCUGGAGCUAAUGUUUUAAGUGCCCCGCCUGGGGAGUAUGCUCGCAAGGGUGAAACUCAAAGGAAUUGACGGGGGCUCACACAAGCGGUGGAG
rnacentral:rRNA from 1 species